UUUCCGAGCAGUGUGGUCUAACCAGCCUUCACACACUGAUAUCGAAGUGCUCUAUUUGCAUUUUAUCUCAGUCCAGGGACGUUGUAAGACUGACUUUGUUUCUCUUUGUUAUAAUUGAUAACGUAAGAGAAGGGAUAGAUGAAGCUCUGAAGUCUGAAAGAAUAAUACCAAACUGAAAGGGAAGCAAAUUGUAUUUUAGAACAUCAAGAAUUUGGGAACUGGAGACGUCGUAGCUGAGCAGAUUGCGGCCCUUUCUCUUAGACACUUACAGUAAAGUUGGACAUCAAAGCCUAAUACGAGCCCAGCCCUGUGUAUGUGGCGAUCCCCUUAAACGUGAUUGGGCAGGAGCACAGGCAAUGUCCAUCCAGAAGAAUUGCUGUACCUCCGUUUUGACAUGGAUGUGAAUUGCCAGCUCUAAAACAUGCUGCACUUUUUACCAGAGACCAGUCUUGGAUCCCUUUGUAAAGGACAGACUGAACUUGGUUUACAGAGCUGAGAGAACAAGCCAGCUUGAUGUCAUCUGUUGGGUCUUCAAUUCUUUCCUUACUUAAAAUCUUCUGGCUAAAAUUUUAUUACUGAAUCCAUAAUAGUGGAUUUGAAUAAAAUUUAUAUUUAACAAA